GAUGAACGCUGGCGGCGUGCCUAAUACAUGCAAGUCGAGCGAACGGACGAGAAGCUUGCUUCUCUGAUGUUAGCGGCGGACGGGUGAGUAACACGUGGAUAACCUACCUAUAAGACUGGGAUAACUUCGGGAAACCGUAGCUAAUACCGGAUAAUAUUUUGAACCGCAUGGUUCAAAAGUGAAAGACGGUCUUGCUGUCACUUAUAGAUGGAUCCGCGCUGCAUUAGCUAGUUGGUAAGGUAACGGCUUACCAAGGCAACGAUGCAUAGCCGACCUGGGAGGGUGAUCGACCACACGGGAACUGAGACACGAUACAGACUCCUACGGAAGGCAGCAGUAGGGAAUCUUCCGCAAUGGGCGAAAGCCUGACGGAGCAACGCCGCGUGAGUGAUGAAAGUCUUCGGAUCGUAGAACUCUGUUAUUAGGGAAGAACAUAUGUGUAAGUAACUGUGCACAUCUUGACGGUACCUAGUCAGAAAGCCACGGCUAACUACGUG
rnacentral:rRNA from 1 species